UACAGUAAUAUUGUGAAAUAUUUGUAUUAUUACUUUCUAUUUGAAUAUAUUUUAAAAUGUAAUUUAUUCCAAAAAUGAAAAAAAAAAAGACAAUCAUGUCCAAAGUCAUGUGAAGCUCACUACAUGUGCAAAAACACACACUGAGUGCAUGUUACGUACAUAAAGGAAAUAGAAACCAAAUGAGAGGACUGAAGAGCACAUUGUUCAGUCGUGUGAUUUGGAUGGUGACAGUAAGGACUAGACUGGAUACAUUUAUAUUUUGAGAUCGUCUGUUGUGUCCCUGGCUUGUAUUUAAGAUGAAUUUGCUAUAUUUGAGGAAGACGACUUUGUUCCUCGCUUUCAUCCUGCAUGUGAGCAUUGAUUCACAAGGUGAGUUCAUUGCAUCCCCCAAAUGUCCUCUCUUGAAAGUUCAUAGAGGGACUGUCCAUAAAGCCUUCAUAAACAAGCCUUUCAAGAUCUCCUGCAAUCUGACAUAUUGUGUUGAACAGACAGUGAAUGUGACAUGGACUAAACAAAACAUGAGAGAAUGGAUUCCAAUAUCUGGAGCAGAUCAAAUAUCAGCAUCACAAAACUAUUCAUCAUCUGAUCCAAAUAUGUUGACUUCAUAUUUAACUUUCACAAAUAUAUCAAAGCAUCAUGAAGGCUCUUACAGAUGUGAACUAAACUUACCAGACUUCUCUAUGAAUAGCCAUCAUAUAAAUGUUUCUGUCUCAGGUAAUGAUUUUUUAUUUCUAUUGACAGUAGAAAGAGACAACACUGAUAGCAGCUCUGGUUCAUAUCCAUGGUGGCUGCCGUAUCUCUUCAUCUGUUUGGGUGUGCUGAUUCUGGUUCUUAUAGUAAUGCUGAUCUCAAUCCUGUGUAUUAGUGGAAGU